GUAGACCAGCCCCACGUUUGCUGUUCACAGAAGUCCAGGGUGUCACCCAAUCACCACAGGACAGGUGUUGCUACGUCAGGUACUCGGGAUAAGACCAGGUUCCCUCUGUGGAUCUUUAUGUUGGUGGAUGCUGACCACAGAAUGCUUCGCAUUGAGCCUAGGUGCUGUGGUGUGGACGGCUGUGGAGCCCCGGCAGGCCCAGCGGAGGAGACACCUGGGCUGACCUGGGCAGCUGAGCAGGAGAUGACACGAG
ensembl:lncRNA